rnacentral:rRNA from 1 species
CAAUAGCGUAUAUUUAAGUUGUUGCAGUUAAAAAGCUCGUAGUUGGAUUUCGGGCGGGGCCUGCCGGUCCGCCUUUGGUGUGCACUGGCAGGGUCCGCCUUGCUGUCGGGGACGGGUUCCUGGGCUUUACUGUCUGGGACUCGGAGUCGACGUGGUUACUUUGAGUAAAUUAGAGUGUUCAAAGCAGGCUUACGCUCUGAAUACAUUAGCAUGGAAUAACGCGAUAGGACUCUGGCCUAUCUUGUUGGUCUGUGGGACCGGAGUAAUGAUUAAGAGGGACAGUCGGGGGCAUUCGUAUUUCAUUGUCAGAGGUGAAAUUCUUGGAUUUAUGAAAGACGAACUACUGCGAAAGCAUUUGCCAAGGA